GGCCUCGGAGCUCAGUUGGCUAGAGCGUUGGCUGUACUAAAGCCUUCCCCCUGCUGGCGCAGGUUCGAAUCCAACCGAGGCCA
rnacentral:tRNA from 1 species